rnacentral:rRNA from 1 species
AUACGUAGGGGGCAAGCGUUGUCCGGAAUUAUUGGGCGUAAAGCGCGCGCAGGCGGCUUCUUAAGUCAGGUGUGAAAGCCCACGGCUCAACCGUGGAGGGCCAUCUGAAACUGGGGAGCUUGAGUGCAGGAGAGGAGAGCGGAAUUCCACGUGUAGCGGUGAAAUGCGUAGAGAUGUGGAGGAACACCAGUGGCGAAGGCGGCUCUCUGGCCUGUAACUGACGCUGAGGCGCGAAAGCGUGGGGAGCAAACAGGAUUAGAUACCCUGGUAGUCCACGCCGUAAACGAUGAGUGCUAGGUGUUGGGGAGUCCACCUCCUCAGUGCCGCAGCUAACGCAAUAAGCACUCCGCCUGGGGAGUACGGCCGCAAGGCUGAA